rnacentral:tmRNA from 3 species
GGGGAUGCCGGGCCUCGAUAGAAGUGUUUUUAAAAAUAAGCAGGUUGAGCAAGUUGGUUGCCUCAAUAAUCCAUCUAACAAAACAUAAGUGCAAACUUAUUUUCAAAAGCUAAGAACGCUAUUGCUUCAAUCUUUAACGUUCCAAGCUUAGUUCCAGUCUACGCCUAAAUUCGUAGACCAUCCGGCUAAUUGAUUCUCAAUAGAUUAGUUUGGGUGUCAAAUUAUUGAGAUAGAUAAUUUAGCGGUCUCAACUAAAUUAUUGAAAAACAAGAGACAGGAUUAAGAAUCUUUUGUCUGAUUUUUAUUUCUUAAUCUCUUUUAAAAAUCAGACUAAGCUUGUAGAAUUAUUUUAAAAAUAUUAUCUAGACAUGGGUUCAACUCCCAUCAUCUCCACCG